UACGUAGGAUGCAAGCGUUGUCCGGAAUUAUUGGGCGUAAAGAGCGCGCAGGCGGUUCUUCAAGUCAGAUGUGAAAUAUCCGGGCUUAACCCGGAGGGGUCAUUUGAAACUGGGGAACUAGAGUACAGCAGAGGAUAGCGGAAUUCCCGGUGUAGUGGUGAAAUGCGUAGAUAUCGGGAGGAACACCAGUGGCGAAGGCGGCUAUCUGGGCUGAAACUGACGCUGAGGCGCGAAGGCUAGGGGAGCAAACAGG
rnacentral:rRNA from 1 species